rnacentral:tRNA from 1 species
GGGAAUGUGGCUUAGUGGUAGAGUGCUUGCCUAGCAUGCAUGAAGCCCUGGGUUUGAUUCCUCAUUACCA